GUGUCUCUCAAAAUUGGGUAAGUCGGAGUCAAUGUUCAUGAUGCAUCUUGAAGAGAAACCGAGAUGGUCGCUCAGUUAUCUCCAAGACAACAUAAUGUCCUGUUUGAACAUCCGAAAAGCAAUUCCCCACUCAUAAUAUUGUAAAGUGCAAAGAAAUUCAAGGGUGAGAAGCCGGGAACCUAGCUCAGUUAUAUUCCAAAAAUUUGUCCACCCCACCAUCUGGAAAAUUAAAUCGAAUUCAGUAUCCAUACCUAUUUCUUGUAGCAAGAUAGGAUCAAGAGUAGGGGUGUGAAUAAAAUCUUUGUUCUUUAGCUACUGGUA
rnacentral:lncRNA from 1 species